rnacentral:rRNA from 1 species
CCUACGGGUGGCAGCAGUGAGGAAUAUUGGUCAAUGGACGAGAGUCUGAACCAGCCAAGUAGCGUGAAGGAUGACUGCCCUAUGGGUUGUAAACUUCUUUUAUAUGGGAAUAAAACGUUCCACGUGUGGGAUUUUGUAUGUACCAUAUGAAUAAGGAUCGGCUAACUCCGUGCCAGCAGCCGCGGUAAUACGGAGGAUCCGAGCGUUAUCCGGAUUUAUUGGGUUUAAAGGGAGCGUAGGUGGAUUGUUAAGUCAGUUGUGAAAGUUUGCGGCUCAACCGUAAAAUUGCAGUUGAAACUGGCAGUCUUGAGUACAGUAGAGGUGGGCGGAAUUCGUGGGGUAGCGGUGAAAUGCUUAGAUAUCACGAAGAACUCCGAUUGCGAAGGCAGUUCACUGGACUGCAACUGACACUGAGGCUCGAAAGUGUGGGUAUCAAACAGGAUUAGAUACCCCAGUAGUC